AUGGGGGAUCGGGACGAGGAGGAGGAGCUCCAGAUGGCGCUCCGCAUGAGCCUCCACGGCUCGCCGCCGGCGCAGCCCGAGCCCAAGCGCAGCAAGCCCCCAUCGCCCGCCGGGGAGUCGCCUGAGGCGGAGGCACGCCGCAAGCAGCGCGAGCUCAUGGCGGCCGCCGCCGAGAAGCGCCUCCGCUCCGUGGCCCCGCCUGCCGCCGUCGCCCCGCCCGUCGCCGUCGCCCCGCUUUCCGCCGUCGUGGUGCCGCCGCCGUCCCAGCCGACGGCCGUGGUGGCGGAGCAAACUUCCGCCCCGGAGGACGUGAAGGUGGAGUCGGAAUCAACCGUGGUACCUAUGGAGGAUGUGAAGGAGGCGGAGGUGGAGUUGGAGGUUGAUGUGGGAGAGGAGGAGAAAGGGGAGGAGUUGCAUCCGGAGCUCGCCGAGAAGCUCUGGCUCAUGGUGUUUGGGAGCGGGGUUUCAAAGGCAGUGCUGGCGCAGUGGAGCAAUCAGGGUAUCAGGUUCAGCUCUGACCCAGAAACAGCUAUGGGACUGGUACAACAUGAAGGUGGCCCUUGUGGUGUCUUAGCUACAGUGCAGGCAUAUGUCCUUAAAUAUCUUCUGUUUUUCUCUGAUAAUUUGGGUAACCCAGAGGUCAGUGACCCGUCAUUUGCUCUGGGACAAAGACGAUUUUAUCAGAGUUCUUUUGCUGCAAGGGAUGAUUUUUCUUCUCUUACCGAGGAUGGAAAGACGAGAGCAUUGGUUCAUGCUAUGGUGGAAAUUCUAUUUUUAUGUGGAACUGGGAAAAGAGCUGUUGUUGCAUUCAUUGGAGGUGUCACUCGUGAGGUAAGUGGACUUGAUAACAACCAGAAAGUUGAUGCUGCUUUGGAAGGCCUUUCUCUUGAAUCGGCAAUUGAUUUCCAGAAAGUUCUUAGAAUAAGUACGUUUACCUCAAGGAAGGAUGCAUUCAACAUGCUUCUGGCAAACAUUCCUCUGUUUCAAAGUCGACUGGGUGCCAUGUUAUUUCUUAUCUCUUCUUUACUUUCGCGGGGACUGGAUUGUAUCCAAGCAGAUAGGGAUGAUCCAAGCCAACCAUUGGUCACGGCUCCAUUUGGGCAUGCUUCUCAGGAAAUUGUAAAUUUAUUGCUUUGUGGAGAGGCUGUCCCAAAUGUAUUUGAUGGCAAGAUGGACCUUGGUGGCGGCAUGUCCCUGAAAGGCAUUCCAAAUGAUGUUGAAGUUGGGUUCCUUACCCUUCUGGAAUCGCUAAAUUUGUGCAAGGUUGGUCAGUACCUAAAGUGCCCGAAAUGGCCUAUAUGGGUGGUGGGAAGUGAAAGUCACUACACUGUCCUUUUUGCCCUAAAUCCCAACGUCCAAGAGGAGAAUGAGCUGGAAGAGCGGGAAUCCAAAAUUAGGAGGGCAUUUGAUGCGCAAGACCAAAGUGGAGGUGGAGGCUUUAUUGCGGUGGAGGGAUUCCAGCAAGUUCUGAGGGACACCGACAUAACAUUUCCUUCUGACAAGCUCGACGAUCUCUGUAAUGCGGGCGUUAUAGUAUGGAGUGAGUUCUGGCAGGCACUGCUUCAGUUGGAUAAAAGGGCUGGAGGCAUGAAAGAUCCAACUGGCCUUAUGGGCAAGAAGCAAUUCACUAUCUACCACUUCAAUGGAAUUGCCAAGUCAGUGCUUAAUGGGAGUGGAAACACAGGAGGAGGCUCAACUCCAAUACAAAGACCUAGGAUAUGCAAGUUAAAUGUCAGCGUCCCACCUAGGUGGACGCAGGAUGAAUACCUAGCUGAUGUUGUAAGCUCAUCGGCCAGCGGCAGCAAGAAUGACAGUGUUCUUUCUCUUGCUCCACCAGUUCAGACUGCUUGUCAGCAUGCGCCAUUAGUGGACUGCAUUAGAACUCGAUGGCCACGGGCAGCUUGCAGUUGGUCUGGAGAUGUGCCGAGUAUCGUCUGA
rnacentral:rRNA from 1 species